AUUGAACGCUGGCGGCAGGCCUAACACAUGCAAGUCGAACGAGUGGCGGACGGGUGAGUAAUGUCUGGGAAACUGCCCGAUGGAGGGGGAUAACUACUGGAAACGGUAGCUAAUACCGCAUACCAUCGGAUGUGCCCAGAUGGGAUGAGCUAGUAGGUGGGGUAACGGCUUACCUAGGCGACGAUCCCUAGCUGGUCUGAGAGGAUGACCAGCCACACUGGGACUGAGACACGGUCCAGACUCCUACGGGAGGCAGCAGUGGGGAAUAUUGCACAAUGGGCGCAAGCCUGAUGCAGCCAUGCCGCGUGUAUGAAGAAGGCCUUCGGGUUGUAAAGUACUUUCAGUGGGGAGGCGUUACCCACAGAAGAAGCACCGGCUAACUCCGUGCCAGCAGCCGCGGUAAUAC
rnacentral:rRNA from 1 species